AUUGAACGCUGGCGGCAUGCUUUACACAUGCAAGUCGAACGGCAGCACGAGUGCUUGCACUUGGUGGCGAGUGGCGAACGGGUGAGUAAUACAUCGGAACGUGUCCUAAAGUGGGGGAUAACGCAUCGAAAGAUGUGCUAAUACCGCAUACGCUCUACGGAGGAAAGCGGGGGACCGCAAGGCCUCGCGCUAACAGAUGAGCCCAAGUCGGAUUAGCUAGUUGGUGGGGUAAAGGCCUACCAAGGCAACGAUCCGUAGCUGGUCUGAGAGGACGAUCAGCCACACUGGGACUGAGACACGGUCCAAACUCCUACGGGAGGCAGCAGUGGGGAAUAUUGCACAAUGGGCGAAAGCCUGAUGCAGCAACGCCGCGUGAGCGAUGAAGGCCCUCGGGUCGUAAAGCUCUGUCCUCAAGGAAGAUAAUGACGGUACUUGAGGAGGAAGCCCCGGCUAACUACGUGCCAGCAGCCGCGGU
rnacentral:rRNA from 1 species